UUUCUUUUUUUUGUGACAAAUUUUCUUUUCGUUUAUUGAUUUUCCAAAAAUUAUUUUUUUUUCAAAGGUUCUGAAUAAAUGUAUUACAAAAAUUACUCCGCAUUAAAAACAUUUGUAACAUGUUGACCAAGCAUUUGAAAACUGUAAAAUGUGUAUAGUUAAAAUGUUUAUCACAUAUACGAAAAGUGUACACAAAAAAUAAAAUGUGUAUGAAAAAAAUUGAUCAUGUAUUUAGAAAAUUUUGGUCAAGCAUUUGCAAAAAUGUUGAAAAAGUGUUUGAAAUUUUUAAGGAAGCAUUUGGAUAAUAUUAAAUGUGUACAGAAAAAAUCUUGACCAUGUAUUAAAACAGGAUGCAACAAAUUUGUUUAUGUAUAUAAAGAUGUUAAUCAAGCAUUUGAAAAAAUGUUGAACAAGUAUUUGAAAAAUGGUAAAUUUGUAUACAAAAAUGUUAACAUGUAUUAGAAAAUGAUGAAAAAAAAUUGAUCAUGUACAUAAAAAUGUUAGUCAAGCAUUUGAAAAAAUGUUAAUCAGUCAUUUGAAAAAUGCGAAAUGUGUUUAGAAAAAAUGUUGACCAUGUGUUUGAUAAAAAACUAUUAAUAUUUAAUUUAUAAAUUAUUAAUCAAGCAUUUGAAAAAUAUUAAAAUAUGCAUAGAAAAAAUGUGGACAAUGCAUUAGAAAAAUGUUAAUCGAGCAUUUGAAGAAAGUUUUAAAGUGUACAUAGGAAAAAUGUUGAAUCAGGUUUCUCGCUUUUCUUCUUCUUAGUUUCUUUUAAACGCGCGCUAACAGACGGCCCAAUAGCUACAGUACAGGAGCAUUCACUUUAGCGGGACGGAAAUAGAGCUCGCGUAAAGAGAGAUAUAGUCCCCGCGGGCGAUUUUGCUAUGAUCGCUAAUGUCCCGUCUAACACUAGACAUGUAAUGAGAGGCGAGUAUGUAUCAACCAUGGUUUAAGUAUUUCCAUGGUCCUCAAAAAAUUGAAGUGAUCCAACUGCUGAGUACAUAAGUUGGAGCCUUAUGUAACAAUUUUCUAUGUUCACCAACUAAAUUGUCUAAUUUCACCAACUAAUUUAUUGUCAAUGUUAUGCGCAACGUCUUUGAUUUAUUUUUCUCUCUUGUGUAUGUCAAUACAUAUUUCUUGACAUAUGUCUAGCCAGGUUUGUAGUUGAUUUACCACCUAGGUGCUUUUUUUCAAGAUAGAAUAAUUGCGAAAGUGUUAACACAGUAAAAACACAUGCUAGAUAACACGUUUUAUUUAUUUUAUCCAAUAGAUGACACGAAUUACUCAAAUUCGGUAGAUCUUAAGAGUCAUACGCACCUCCCAUACUGGAACAAGAUACAAAUUCGGGUGUUUAAUUUGGAGCACUCAAAAGUUCCUUAACCAUUGAUUCAAGUACAAACUAAUAAUGUUGUCAAAAUCGCGACAGAAGUAACAUUUGAAGAUGCUGAAUCGAGAUAUAAUGUAUGCCGUGUUCUCGGUAGUCAUAUAUACAUAAUGUUCCCAUUUUUGUCUUACUGGCUAUGUUUAAGUAGUCUAGUUUGACAUCACCGUUGGCUUUUCCUUUUCAUUAAACAAGCAGCAAGAUCCAUCGCUCACAUGCCAAACACUACGGACGACAGACAGCUGAGUUUUCAAGCGAUAUCGCCACAUCGACCGGCUGGAUAUAAAAGAACACAGGUGCGUUGCGUGGCUGGCGACUUGCUGCAAAUCGAAAUUAGUCUCUUCUCGUUGACAUUGCCUGCCUGUCUCGCACGCACUAUCAUUUGCUGCUUAAUUAUUCGGAUACGGAUCCCGUUUAGUUAGACACACCCUAAUUAAGCAAUGAAGUCUAGCUGCGAUGUGGCGAUCAUAAGGAUCUGUACGUGAGAUAAGCAUGCGAAUGAUUUGCUUGAUUUCCGAGGAUGCUUUCCCGUAAAACUGAACACCGCACUCUUUCUGCGAGGUCCGUAGAUGUAUUUUCUUUAAGAAGUUAAUGAAAAUGGGCAGUGCCAGGUUGGAAAAAAAGCAUAAGCAUGGUUGCUUCAGCCUUCAGGGACUGAAGAACCAGAGAAAACUCUGGCCUCUUCUGACUUGGAAGUUGGAACAGUGAAAAACCCCAAUAAAACCAUUCGCGCACAAAACAAGGUGUCGUUCUCUGAAUAUUCAGCAUAAAGAUCACGCUCCAGUGUUCUUCUCGACUGACCAUUUCAGCAGUUGACAUGGAUCGACCACCGUUGGCUCUUGAUUAAACUAGCAAGGAGAUCUAUACCUGACAAGAGAUUUAUAAUGAGCUAUACUAUCUGACUGACCGGCCGCCCGGGUUUAUAAAAGAAUUAAUCCAGGUGCUACGUAUGUUUUUUUUUCUCUCGGCCGUGGACACUGCCGGCCUGUAUCAUAUUCGCACUGUUAUCUCUACGGAUCCCGUUUACUCGCACUAAACAAUGCGGUGUAGUACGUAGCUGUGAUGUGGCGAUUCUCCCCGAUCCUAACUAAUGAUCUGCGGCUCUCCGCGAGGGAAUACGGCCACAUGCUGCCGCUUGCCCGUGCCGUGUUCUAAGGCUUCGAGCCUGCCUAUUGGUGCAGAGCUGUGGACGACGGGCGACUGAUUCCAGCUUCCAGGUGGGAUCGUGGAGAUCGUGAAGUGGUGAUAUGGAAUCAUGGAUUGGAUUAGAUAUUUAGAUCAGUGACGCGUCGUGUCCACGGCAUCGAGCGGUGACGUGCCGAUGUACGGUGCCCCGUACGGCACCUCACAGGACGUUUCCUCGCAGGUGGAACGGCGGUGAGAUAAGAAUACCGGGGCGAGCGCGCGCACGAGCCAGGCAGGCAGGCGGGGCGGCGUCGGCAGAGCAUGUGAGUUGUGAAGCUAGCAGGUGCCGGCAGGACAGACGGUAGCGAUCGGCAGCGGAGAUGCGGAUUCGGGGGAUAAUUCUGGUCGGCGCUCCAGGCAUGCAUCGCGCUUGCCGUCGGCGGCAGCCGGGGCAUGCACUCUGCACUACGUGAUCAGACUGACGCUGUUGCUGGCCGGGAGGCCACGCUGAUCGUUAUCGUCUGCUUCUCUUCCCGAUGAAUGGUGACGGCGGUCUCUGAUUGAAUGGAGAUUCGAUCGAGCUGCCCCUGCGCGCGUCUCAUCUGAUUCUCCUCCGUCAAUGCAAAUAUCGCCAGUCUUGUACCCGGCGCCUCGCCACGCUUUAGGAAAGGAAGAGAGGAAUCUCUGUGGCUUUGGAUAACAACUUGGCAUGGCAUCGCCCAGAUCAGCGUAUCUGCAGACAGUCAUUGCCUACUCGUGCCAGGGGAGAUUCUCCCGCCAAACGAGGCUCCUAGGCCAGCAGCAGAGGAUACGAUGCGAAUCUCCGUCAGUCACCAAACCGCUUUCUUUGGGAGCUUUUUUAUGGUACCCUAUACUGCUACCGAGGGGAUGGAGCAGUAUAAAAUCAUCAACCGUUGAUUUUGUGAGGGUAAUUUAGUCAGUUUCAGCCCAUCAGCGAUCGGUCUGUUCGUUGUACUUGGAAAAAGAAAAAUCGCGGGCCCUGUGCCGUCGGCCGUCGCCCUGCUCGCCGCCGACUGUGCCAUUAGCGAACUCGCCGUCGUAUCGCUGUAUCCGCGAGUGCUCCAGUCCAGCCACCACCCUCUGCCCGCGCGCGUCGACCUCGCUGCAUAUCCAGCCGCAUCUCCUGUCGGGGCACACAUUGCCCGCACACCGUCACACGCACGGCUUCGUCCUCGUCGGUACAGGCUACUCCCCGUAGACGAAAAGUGUAAUGGCUCGGACAACUGUACCAUCCUGCCGGAGUGCCUGACCAUUAGCAUGGCCGAGGAAAGGGACGCGAUUCCCUGAAGAAGACGACAUGCAUCGGCGGCCGCGUGACAGAGGAAGGGGUGGAUGCCAGAUCGGGCUCCGACGGGCGUGUGCCGGCGUGCGUGCAGCCAUGCGGGAAAUGGAAGAGGAAGGGCUGACUUCGUCGGGACUCGGGAGGCAGGACGAUUUCUCUCCCUCCCUAAAUUAUCCUCACAGGACGUGUGCUCCUGCAGGCCGAGCGCCCAGUGCCACUGAAUACUGCUGGGGAUGGUGCUAGUCCAAUUGAGCGGUAUAGAUGGAUGACCACCGUUGGAUUUCGAGAAUAGAGGGUCCAUAUUGAUUACCGGGUACUGUAAAAGAGCUCUUCUUUGGGUGUGCUUUUGUGUUGAUUCGGAUAGGAAACGGUGCCAAGCAUGUUGCCGCGAUACAAUAUGCUUCCUGUCCCUGAUCCGUUCAAGUUCGAGUUCGAUUGCGUGCUCUUUUCCCGACGAUUAUUCUGAUGCUGCAACUGGCAGGGAUCAUAUCGAUAAUAUCCUUUCCCCUGCAGAGUAGCAAUGAAAAAGAAAAGAAAAGCAGAUACGGUUCUCGACUUCCAAAACCGGCAAGGCAGUGUGCAUGACAGGCUUUCGCGUUACUCUGUCAAUGCCUUUGGGAGAAAGCAGAUUGUUCGUCUUGCUCUUCGACGAAAGGUACAGCAAGUUGCAGCUUUACAGCACGCGGCAAUACAGGAUCUUGACGAUGGUCAGGACAUGGCAUGGAAAUGCACCCAAAGGCAAGCUGCUUGGGUGCACAUACCACGCCUAUGUUCACACAAGGCAAAAGCAAAUAGGCAAUCCCUACUGGCCAAAUGGAUCAGGCAAACAGAUUUGAGGCGUCAUUCGUGUUACUCCAUCGCACCACAGUCCACAAUGCACAUUUGAGUUUCAGUUUGUGUUUUCCUUUUUCACCACAUAGUUUAUUUGAAGUAAGCAAAUGCAACUACUGCCAUGAAACAAUAUCCAGCGGCUUAUUCACCUUUAUUUGAGAAGCUCCAUCUGCCUCAUUUAUGUUCUAUAAACAAGAGUUCGGGGUCUUGCUCUAUGGUCAUUGGUGCCAAAAGGCUUUGGUUGUAUGUUUUUCAUAAAUCACGUUGGAGGCGUUUUGUACUCCCUCCGUUCCUAAAUAUUUGUCUUUCUAGAGAUUUCAACAAGUGACCACAUAAGAAGCAAAAUGAGCGAAUAAGCUAUCUACUACAAUUAGAUAUGCAAGCGUUAUUAACCAGGUAAAUGAGUAUUAGUCAAACAUAGUAUAAAGUCCUUGGUUUUCGGUUUCUCUUUUUGCAUGCGUUUAUUUUUUUAGUAGGCACAAUGUCUUACAUAAUUUUUGGUUGAUUUAUGUCAGUAAUUCUAAAAACAAGUUUGAAGGGGUUAACCACUAUGGUGUAAAAAUUAAGUUAAGAUAUAACUUUGUGGUUUUCACCAAAAUAUUUUAGCCAUUAGAUCAAAUUCGAUGAUGAGUUUGACACGUGAUUGGUUAUGUUGUUGUUCUAGAAACAACUUUCAACGGGGUGUCCAUAAAAAUAUGUCGACAUUCCGAGUAAGUAAGGUGCCUUCUAUGUAAGGUCGUCGUAUGUAGACAAAGUUGAUAUGAUGAAACUUUUUAAAUAGGUACAGCUGCUUCGAGAGAGCUGGGAUAGUCCUAUGUUUGGAAGGGGGUGAGGGUGGUGUGAUCGCAGGACUGAGCCAUUCUCGACUCAUGGGCACCCUCUCCAACUAAUCCUCCCUGACACCGGUCUGAGCCGUGGGAGGCUUAUAUAGGCGAUGAGUCCUCAAAAUGACCAAAGAUACCCUUGUGAUUGUUAGUGGUAAGGGUGGUGGAUGUAAUAUUUGGUCAAUGAGUCCAUGGGCUCAUGGCAGUCUAGGCGGAAAGUGGUGACCCAUGAGAGGGAAUAUUCCAUCCACAAUAUAUGAGAGCUGCUCUUUGAUUGGUUUGGGCUUCUUUGCUAGGUGUGGCCUCCUUGACUUUGUAUUCUCUUCUUUUCCUCAUCUUUGAUUUUCUGAUCAUGACAUGAUACUUGGGCUUCUGUUGACCAUACUAGGAGCUUGGUUUCCUUGCUUAAGCUAUGUUAAUCGUCUUUGUCUUUUGUUGACCUGCCAUGUAGGCCUUGAAGGGGGCCUGGAGUCGGAUUAUUUGACUACCACGAUAAGUUGUAUAGUUACUAGUAGUUAUACUUGUGUUAUAUAUGAGCUCAGCUUAUAUAACUUCAGUACAACCAAAUAUAAAAAAGACCGCAUUGUACAGACAUGUAAAUUCAACUGCAUAUGCAUGAACUGUCAAAUUUUAAUAUCCUACAGUCCAUUGCAUUGAUGAUCGAAAUAUAGAAUGCAACUAAUAUACAUUGUACACAUUACAUAGGACAAAUAUAUCCAAAACAUUUGCCUUGUAAGUAUAUUGCAUUGCAGUUUUGAGUAAAAUAUUGUACGAAAUGCUACACUGCAACACCAAAGACGGACGGACUUCAUGACGGUACUUCCAUAAGAGUUAAACCAAAACAAAAACCGUAAAGUUAAAUGAAUAGCAAUAUUUUAUAAAGUAAAAACUUUGAGAAAUUGGUGUAUGGGAAAGUCUAAAACAAAGGAAGAGGUGGUUGUUUUUUUGAGGUCCAUGCAGAUUGCGCAUUGCAAAUCACAAUAAUGGUCUUUUAGAAGAAAAGUUUUGUGAGCGUUCAAGUAGUAGUACAGAGUCUAGAACAAAUGAGGAGUGUGUCUUGAGCUUUUGGCAUAUCGUGCGAAAGCUUGGUGCAGAAGAAGAUAUCCAGCGAACAAUCGAGCUCAGAUUGUGCCACCUCUCUACGACUCUACCGCCCGCAAGAACCUCAUCUAACAACGAAAAAUCAAAGUUAUUGUUGUGCUACAUAGCGGUGCAGAUAUAUCUUAGCAAGCAUAAUCAUAGUUGCUUCACAGACUGAAGUCAACAGUCUCAAGAAUCAUAAGACUGCAGCUGUCGUGCUCUGAAUAUCUCUGGAGAUACGCUAAAUCCGAAGACUGCAGCUGCCGUGCUCUGGAUAUGCACCAUAAACAUCACACUCAGUAUUCUUCUCGACUGACCGACUGUUUCAGCAGUUGACAUUGGCUCUGGUUAAACAAGCAAGGAGUUGUGUCGCAUGACAAGCACUACAGGAGAGGAUCAUAGCUGACAAGAGAGUUUUCGUUUUAUAAGGCUAGAUAUACUAUCUGAGUGAUCGACCGCCCGAGUUUAAAAGAGUUGAUCCAAGAUGCACAGCACCGGCCGCGUGAGUGCUGCUGCUAAGUGUAGUUUACUUGUAUAAAUUUAUUUUUCCUCGGCCUGCCGUUGACACUGACUGGCUCUAUCAACCCACUGUUAUCCCUUGAUUAAUCCGGAUACGGAUCCCGUUCACGUUUAGUGGCACUAAACAAUGCGGUGUAGCUGUGAUGUAGCGUAUCUGAUAUGUGCAGGAUAGAAUACAGAGUUGUUGACACUUGAUCGGAUCCUCGUGCCCUGUCGGAAGGGAAACUGCCUGGUACAGAGUUGCCGACAGGCUAUGUACGAAAUGAAAUGAUACUCUAGUUGAUCAGAUCGUGGAGAUCUUGGACUGGACAAGAUCGUCGACGGCACGGCAUCGAGCGGUGAGGUACGACUCGCUGUACGGCACCCUGCAUGACGUUCCCUUGCAAGUGAAACCGCGGAGUUGUUGACACUUGACAAUACAUACGUAGCGCUAGUAAUUCUUUUUCCCCGUUAUAAAACCUUGGUGCCAACAAGGCGAAGGAACAGUGGCGAUCGAAAACCAAGGAUUCUGGAGAUGGUCAAUUGUGGUCGUGCAUCAUGUCUGCCGUCGGCGCGAUGUGCUUCUUCUAUUCAUGAGCAGUGACGGUGGGGCUGUGCUGAACGGAGAUUGGAUCGCGUAUCAUCCUCUCUCCUCUGGCAGAUUGGAUCGUACCAGGCGCCGCGCCCGCUUCAGUACAGGGAAGGAAAGAAUCUUGCUCACUUUCCAUGGCAGCUCGGAGUUUUCCCAGCUCAGCCUAUAUAUCUGCAGGUCUGGUGAGUUUGUGCUGGUCAUCAGUCAUCGCUCGUGCAGACGAUACGAGGCUCCUAGGCUAGCAGAGGAUACGAUGCGGUUCGCACGAGGAGUAGCUCGAGGAAAAGCAGAUAGAGAUACGGUUUUCGACUUCCAAAACCGGCAAUGCCUUUGGGAGAAAGCAAAUCCUCGAGGAGCCAAGUCGCACCUGCUUUUACUUUACGGCACUGUACAGGGCAAGGACCUUCGAGUCUUGCUAAACGGUAGGCAGCCAUGGCGUGGAAAUGGCUAGCUGCUUGGCACAGCUUAGGGGGUGUUUGAUUAAGAAGUCUUUGGACUUUUUCUAGUCCCAGGGACUAAUCCAAAAAGACUCUCCAGUAGAGUCUUUUCCUAGUCCCUGUAGAAAAAGUCCCUCCCGUUUGGUUUUUAUGGACUUUUUAGGAAUUUUUUUUAGUCCCUGGAACUAAAAAGUCUCUGAACCAAACACCCCCUUAGUUGGGUACUAUACACACGACACUAGCGCCUCUGCCCACGCAAGAACCUGCUUAUGAGCAAAGCACAACAGUUAAAAGCAAAAUAGAUUUACGGGUCGCGCUCGGACAACCAGACAAUGUUCGGCCGGCACUCGACCAGACAAAGUCACAGCCUGCUCUAGCUCUGCUUAGUGUGAAAAACAAACCGGAACUGCUCCACAGACGACAUGUGCAACCGAUUUUCGCACGACCAUGAAAUCGAGCGGCUGUUGCCCUUUAAGUCGACUACAUGUGCGGCUGGAUUUACAUCGUCGUGCAUGAAUCGUCCGUCUGUUGUCGUCCGUGUAGCAUGAUUCAAAACAAACCCGGCAGGCGCUCCCGUUUCUUUGUUUCUGCAGGCGACAAGGCAGCUGGACGCGUUUGUCCACACGCCAAUUCCCGACAUGCCGCUGUCAACAACGGAUCCCAGCAGCCUGCAUUCCCCGAAGAUCAUGGCCCGUGUCCACACAGAUCUUCCUACAGUAGCAUUCCGGUCGCAGGCGAGCAGAGAGCCAGAAGGACCAGGCAUGGCCUGUACUAGCGUCCACGAUACUCUACAGUAAUAGUAAUACUCUGACAAAAUGGAUCAGGCAAGGUAUCACUGGAAAAGCUGCGCGCACAUUACAGUAGGCUCCCUUCCCUCUCAUUCCCAUGUGAGCAAGAUUUGCACAAAACAUGGGAUCUCACUCACUGAUUGCUUUUCUUUAACAUUUGACUAGACGCAGCGCACCUGACCGACUGACUGACCGCGCCGUGCACAAGAGGGGAAAAGGAAAGGGUCAAUGCAGGUUACAUCUAGACGCACGCCCACACACACGGUUGUUGGGCCUGAGCUUUUCAAUGGGACCGGUGAGAAGUUUCUUCUUCGAGAUCGAUCGGAUCCACCCGGAUACGCGGUUGACGCAAGAGGUUGAGGUAACAUGGACGUUUGGAAUUAGCAGACGACGUACGUAUGUGACCCUUACUGUGUGAAAUAUAUUCCCAGCAACAGGAAAAAAAGACCGUAUAUUUUCAUGAAAAUAUUCUCAAGCAGCGAGAGAAAAAAGAAACUUCUACAGGUAUGAAGAUUCCCCGUAUAGAUUUUUAAUGAGAUAUUCUAGACUAGAAGAAAAUAAGAAACUUGUAUUCUGCCGGGUGUGACACCACGAUACCGAUGUGUAUGGAGAUUCCCCGUAGAUAUUUAAUGAGAUAUUCUAGCUAGCUAGUCAAUGGCGUGGAGCGGAUGAUCCUGUUUCCAUCCGAGAGAAUAAAAAUCCUACUACUAGCGAUCAAGUCGCACUCGAAAAGUAAUUAUCUGAUCAGUUCAGAAUAACAUCAACAGCUCAGAGUGAUGUACUACUAGCAGCAGAAAAUUAGCACUACCUGACACGGCUAAGUCAUAAAUUAAAUUAACUAGUACAAUGCCCGUGCGUUGCCACGGGCUAACAAAGUAUAUGUACACCGAGAAAUACGCUAACAAAAAUGUAUAGGGAACUAUUUACAUGUGAAGAUAUUUCAUGCUAGUGAUGUGGUAGAUAAAUGAAUCUCCUCAUCUUUCUCUCCUCCUCCCUCUCCCACGAUCCUUUCUUCUUCGUGUUUUAUUCACCCACGUCCCAUGACUUCUCCAGUUGGCCAUCUUAUAGAUUGUACUCCCUCCGUUCCCAAAUAUUUGUCCUUUUAGAGAUUUCAACAAGUGCCUAUAUAUGAAACAAAACGAGUCAAUCUACACUCUGAAAUAUGUCUACAUACAUCCGUAUGUCAUAGUUCAUUUGAAAUGUCAAGAAAGACAAAUAUUUGAAAACGGAUGGAGUAAUAGAUAACUUAUGUGCCCCAUAAAAGGAUACCAAACGCCGUGUGAGAGAUAAGAAUUCAGGGUGACAUCUGUCUAUACAAUUAGUUUUCAAGGCAAACUUUUGCACCAAGAUUGUGACAUAGUCACAUUCCAUCGAAUGAACAUGUGAUGCUGACCGAAGACUUGAUCAACUGUUUAAAUAUGCCUAUGAUAAAAAAUAGUUUAUUCAAAGCACAUUUAUCUAAGAAUGUAGUACGAUUUGUUUAAAGUCAAAAUUGAGAGAUUUGGUUACAUCCUAAAUUAUCAUAUAUAUUGAGGAAUAAAUUUCAUCAACUCAUGAUCUAAAAUGAAAGGACUUCUUAUUAGUGGCAUAAAGUCGUGAGAAAGCCAUGUUAUAUGCACUCUAUUAUGUGUUGGAGCACAUGUGUGCUCGUUAUCCCUCCCAUCAAGUUGCCCCGGGAUUUACAGCCCAACACGCAUAGGCCACUAAUAAUCUAUGUAUGCUUCUUUUGAACAGUGAAUAUGGCCCACAUCUGAAGUCCAUGAAACAUGACUAUGUGAGGCACUUUCACACCGGAUCGAAUGUCAGACCACCAUAUGGGUCGUCCAAGACGAGAUUCUGGACUAACAGAGUCAUUUUCGAGUCGAUUUAUUAUGUCUGACUCAUGCAUGUGGCUUCCCUUCCCCUACACAACUAAAGCUCGUCCCUCACUGGCUAAAGCGAACUCCACCUAGAUCCACCAUUCCCCCGCAGUCAAUUCUUCCUCAUCAGCCAUUCCCGAAGACAUCUUGCCGCUCAUUCCUGGCUUCGAUUGCGGAGAGCAGAUCAUAACAUAGAUUGCCCAUAGUGUGGCAAAUGUCGGCAAUCUGCCCCCGGUCACCUGCAACCACAAGAGUCCCUUUAGUAUGAAUCAGAUUCACACCAUAACCAUUUGCAACAAUCUAGUCCUCUAAUACAAGCCCAUCAUAAUUCUCAAUAGUCAUUAAAAUAUGGAAUCAAAACAGCUAACAAUCUAUCAUGUAUCCAAAAUUGACACCUAUGCUUAUCAUACAUGCCGGAGAAAAAUAGCUACAAUGUUGCUGUCAAGAUAACAUUUUGGAAGCAUUUUCUCUCAAAUAAGUAUUAAUAGAUCAGACACUGACAAAAUGAUUAUGGUAGUGUAAACCAAACGAAAUGACAUGGCCCACACACCAAUCUAUUCAGGAGUGUUACAUUAAUCCAACAAUUUGUUCAGCGCAUGGUAGCUAUAUAAAUAAUCCAGAUAUCAUUCGUGUUGACAGAAAUUAGCAAUGCUCCCAAGUACAUACAAAAUUGUCGAGAGAGAAUUUCCUAGCAUGCUGAGUUUCCAAAGACUGGACUUCUUAAUAAUGACACACCUUCGUGUCCAUGCAGGAGCUUUAGGGUCGAUCAGGCCAUAGAUUUCUUCGAUGUUGGCGACGAAUCUUCCGUUCAAGCUUCCGUUGCCCCUCCACCACACAUAUUUGCGUGUCUCCACUCACUCCCCUCAUAGGCGGCCGCUGCUCGACAUGUUGAGCCACUCAUGGCUGUCUCCACUCACUCCCCUCAUAGGAAUAGUGAACCGUAAAAAUAUUUUCAGAGUAUUAGGCUUGUAUCAUGAAUUAUGUUCGCUUCUAUCAAUGCUUCAAGACGCAAAGCUUUUUGUGUUUGCUAAGAAAACUAAGCAAAUAUGAAGGUAAAAGGAAAUCAUCAAUAUAAUUCCGCAAAAACUACUACAUGGAACGGACAUGAAAUGUUGCGGAAAUUGCUGAAUCUUGCUUUUCUGGAACAACGAUAUAGAGUGUUCACUACUGACUUGCACAUACUUUGCAAUCAGAAAAAAGCUUCAUCAAGUAUGUAGACGCGGUGAAAGGGAAUACAACAUACAAAAUCUAGAUACAGAAUUCAAGAUAAUAAAGCUAGAUGGAGCUAACACGACACAAUAUGCUUCAUCGUUUAGCGGGUACUCCCAUGCAUAUACUAAAUCAUAUAGACAUACACUUCAACCAUCAGAACUAUGCCAGAACUGGAACUGGUUUGUUCUUACAUGUCAUUUCCAGUGAGAAAAGGGGGAUGCUAUACAUUCCAAGUCACAAAAAUUGUCUUAAAAUUAUAAGAAGCAAACUAAAAAUUAUAAAUAAUCAGAAGAAGUGCUCCCGCUGAGCGAAAACACAUUGCAUCUGAACAAUGCAAAGCAAUUGCAGCACAUAAGCUAGCACCUUAUUCAUGCUUUAAAGGUGUACAGUUUGACCACCUACUUGUAGCUACUAUACACAUUCACAAGACAUUAGGCCUUUCAUGUAAUAUUUUUCUAGGCAAGAAAACAUUGCUAUAUGACGUAACUCGUAGUAGUAGGUAAAUUCACAAACUGUGUAUGUUGUAUCAAUGACUCUGUUGUAAUCAAACUUUGAAGCUACAAUCAGAUAAAGGAAUAAUAUGAACUUCAGUUAACUGAUGUAAAAUAACAAAAAGAGGCAUGUCUAAAGAACACAAUGGAAGAAUAGAAAAAUGCAUGUAGAAGAUUACACAUGAUCUAAUCAUAUACCUUGCCACCCAAAAUUUUGCCUUUGUCGUAUCAAUGAGUUUGCUAUAAAUGAGGAAGUAGUAAUUUUUGCACGUACUCUAGGUGUUUUGUCAUCGGUUGAACGACAAGCUUCUUCAUUUUUGGAAACUACACGAACAAGACAAAACAUUUGUUCACAGUAAGUUAGUAACCCUAAAGGAUCUACUUACUCGGACAAAUUCAUAAGAACAAACUGCAUAUACAGUAAAACACAACGAGCUCUGAAUCAAAGUAUAACUAUUUGAAAAUCUUUGGAGAAGAUCAAACAAUACAUCAUUGCAUCACUACUCGGGGUCACUAACGGAGGCGCCAAUUCCUUCGAGCUGGGGAAAGGGGAAUUGAAGGUGCUCGGCAGAACUGGAAGGGGGAGAAAUGAAAACCUCAAACACUACCAUUUGAAGAGCAGAGGAUAUAUAUUUAGGCACUCACAGAAAUAAUCACCGGAGGUCCUGUACAGAUACAAGUAGGUGGUGGCAUCGCCGUCUUAGCUCGGUUGUCCAAGCAACACAGAAUGUCCUGAUCACCACACAGUUGAAAUUGAAAGUGUUUGCAACUCUGCAAAUUAUAUACAUAUCCAACGAUUCAGUUGGGAGUUUAUUCUGCACCAUUUGUGAAAACACACACUCACAAGCAAUUCGUUGAGUAGACACCGUGAAAUAAAAUUAUAUUGUGAAAAAUACUAUUUAUCAAACAGGUGAAACAAACUAAUCAGGUGCAUCUCCGUAAGCAAAGAAAAAGGCAGACCAAAAUCUAUAGGAUAUGAGACAUAUAUAUCUCUUUGUUUAUAUAUAGACACACACACACACACACGUCAUAAUACCUUGACUUUCUUCCAGAGACUAAACAUUGGUUUGUGGACUAAAAACUCAGAGAAAAAAUUACCAGAAUGGGUAAAUGAGUAAUGGAGCAAACAUGCACAUUACUGAGAGAGAACACAUGUCCAGUGCAUACAGUUAUAAACAACCAUACUUAUAUAAUUUCCAUGUGGGAGAAGUAUAUUAGGUUAUGAAAGCAAGCGCCGUCGUUCGUGAUUUUAACGCACACGACUGAUGUCAUGUCACUAUGGUGCCAACCGGCUUGCCCAUGACACAGCUAGAUUCUGUCACCUCAAUCUUUGUAAUCUCAUCAUCUUAGGACAUGCCACAUUUUGCAAUGUUGUGAGUAGAUGACAGAUAAGAUGUAGCAGUGUAUAAUGGAAUUAGGGGUGGAUCAGCAACCUGACAUGCGCGGGGGAGGUACUCUGCCCGCCACUUCCCAUCCCUAGAGGGGGCGUGCAGGGUCGGCUACCAUCACCUUGACGCUCGGCCCACGAGACUACCAUAGAUGUAUUCUCACCUGCGUCGAUGCCACGUGCAUGACGCCACGACCGCGGCUGCCACAGCCUGGCCUCUCCUACAAGUAAAAAAGUAAAUCACACCAAAAUCAACACAAAAGGCACACCAAAUCAAGUUGAGAAGUGAGAGUGCAAGGGAUUCAUCGUACCUGCUCCGAGUAGGUCGAGACGCAAUAGUAAAUCCCACCGGCUGCCUUCAUGUCCGUUCAUGAUUGGAACAGGCAUGUUUCAGCCAGCUCGAGGUGCACUUACCAAGGUUGCAAAUUACAUGAUUUACGUAUAUAUAUUGUGAGAAGAAAACCCAAAAAAACGAUUGCAUGUAUUUUUAGCGAAGUGUGCUUCUGAACCACAGCUUGGAAUUGUGUAAUCACGACAUGACAUCAUGAUUCCCCAAAACAAUUCAGACCAUAGUUAGCACAGUAUGGACACCUAAAUCUUGAACAUUCUAAAAUAAUUACAAUAUCCUCAUUUUUCUCUAUUUAUACCAGAAAUUAAGAAGAACCGCAAGCAAUCAUCAGGAAAUACCAAAUCUAGGGGUUACAGAAAGUCAAAGUGUUCCCAUCAAACUGUGGAGAACACUAAUGUUCUAUCUUGUUUUUAAUCAAAACUAAUGUUCUACCCGGGAAGAAAAAUGACAGAUGCAACUCACGCAGAUGACCAGGCCUAGGUAAUUUAUAGCAGAUGUCCACCCGUGAGUCCUUUUUCUGCGGAUUAAAAGAAACACUUGCAAGUUGUUAAACCAAAAACAGUGAAUAUAGCAUGCAAGUAAUAAUCAGAAUAUUAUUCAGCUUCCAUUUCCAUGAAUCAAUCAGAGAUAAAGUUGAUCUUUAUUUGACAUUCAAUCAAACAGUCCCAAUCAAAUUUAAUUUGGGGCAGGGUAGAAAGAUGCAAGUCAUAAUAGGGAGAAAAGCUAUCAAGAAUGCCAUGCUGCUUGUUGCGACAAAUUUACCAUGUUACACCUUUUCGUGGAAGGGUCAAAAGAUCUGGAUGCGCUUAUCUGAAAUUCUUAAAUGAUCAGUUCAAACAAAUUAUAGAGCCAAAGCAAUUCAAAAUUUAGCAUUAUGAAGGAAAGGCUCGUGAUUAGUAUGCAAAUACGAAAGGCACAAGAUUACUACGAAGUAGGAUGACUGUCUGCCAAAGGCAAAAAUAACUCAGUUUUAUGCUUUUCUAAACUAAAGCAGAAACGACCGUACAAUUGCAGGAGAAAAAUUGAUGUAUGCUUUUUCUAACCUCAGCAGUAACGAACAGACAAUUGCGGCAAACAGGCUUGGGCAUCACAAUCGAGAACAUCUAUCACCAGCAUACCGCACCGAUUGCGACACCUCAUGUUGUCAAUCUACACUCUGAAAUAUGUCUACAUACAUCCGUAUGUCAUAGUUCAUUUGAAAUGUCAAGAAAGACAAAUAUUUGGAAACGGAUGGAGUAAUAGAUAACUUAUGUGCCCCAUAAAAGGAUACCAAACGCCGUGUGAGAGAUAAGAAUUCAGGGUGACAUCUGUCUAUACAAUUAGUUUUCAAGGCAAACUUUUGCACCAAGAUUGUGACAUAGUCACAUUCCAUCGAAUGAACAUGUGAUGCUGACCGAAGACUUGAUCAACUGUUUAAAUAUGCCUAUGAUAAAAAAUAGUUUAUUCAAAGCACAUUUAUCUAAGAAUGUAGUACGAUUUGUUUAAAGUCAAAAAUGAGAGAUUUGGUUACAUCCUAAAUUAUCAUAUAUAUUGAGGAAUAAAUUUCAUCAACUCAUGAUCUAAAAUGAAAGGACUUCUUAUUAGUGGCAUAAAGUCGUGAGAAAGCCAUGUUAUAUGCACUCUAUUAUGUGUUGGAGCACAUGUGUGCUCGUUAUCCCUCCCAUCAAGUUGCCCCGGGAUUUACAGCCCAACACGCAUAGGCCACUAAUAAUCUAUGUAUGCUUCUUUUGAACAGUGAAUAUGGCCCACAUCUGAAGUCCAUGAAACAUGACUAUGUGAGGCACUUUCACACCGGAUCGAAUGUCAGACCACCAUAUGGGUCGUCCAAGACGAGAUUCUGGACUAACAGAGUCAUUUUCGAGUCGAUUUAUUAUGUCUGACUCAUGCAUGUGGCUUCCCUUCCCCUACACAACUAAAGCUCGUCCCUCACUGGCUAAAGCGAACUCCACCUAGAUCCACCAUUCCCCCGCAGUCAAUUCUUCCUCAUCAGCCAUUCCCGAAGACAUCUUG
rnacentral:lncRNA from 1 species